rnacentral:lncRNA from 1 species
AAAGAGAGAAACAUAUUGAAAAUUUAAGCUCCGUAAAAGAAAGAAAGGAAAAAUGUAUAAAUUUAGUGAAAUUUCGCUCUUUUAUUUGUCUAUUAGGUUUGUUUUUAUGGGCCAACAACAUUAGCCUAAUUUUAACUAAACUCAGAUUAUUCACUUAGCCUAUAUAUAAUUAAAAUAUAUGAUAAUAGCAAGGUAGGCAACGGCGGGCAUAUACUGUUACUUUGUAACUUAGAGGGCUUCCCGCUUGGCCACUUAGGGUAAGAGACAGAAAAAGAGAAAGAGAGAAACAUAUUGAAAAUUUAAGCUCUGUAAAAGAAAAAAGAAAAAAUGUAUAAAUUUAGUAAAAUUUCGCUCCUUUAUUUGUCUAUUAGGUUUGUUUUUAUGGGCCAACAACAUUAGCCCAAUUUUAACUAAACUCAGAUUAUUCACUUAGCCUAUAUAUAAUUAAAAUAUAUUAUAAUAGCAAGGUAGGCAACGGCAGGCAUAUACUGUUACUUGGUAACUUAAAGGGCUUCCCGCUUGGCCACUUAGGGUGAGAGACAGAAAAAGAGAAAGAGAGAAACAUAUUGAAAAUUUAAGCUCUGUAAAAGAAAAAAGAAAAAAUGUAUAAAUUUAGUGAAAUUUCGCUCUUUUAUUUGUCUAUUAAGUUUGUUUUUAUGGGCCAACAACAUUAGCCCAAUUUUAACUAAACUCAGAUUAUUCACUCAGCCUA